rnacentral:miRNA from 1 species
GACUGCCUGUGUGAGUGUGUGACUGCCUGUGUGAGUGUGUUACUGUCUCUGUGUGAGUGUGUGACUGUCUCUGUGUGAGACAGUCACACACUCACACAGGCAGUCACACACUCACACAG